CAGACCCACCCUAAUAUAAUAUUUAAUUUCUAUGUUUAUUUUACAGUUGUAUGUUUCAAUUCCAAUUUCUUUAUAUGCUCUUGAAUUGUCUCGCAUUCCAUUUACAUACAUACAUUUCCCGCUAUACAGUUUCUGUUUCCUUGUUUGUGCGAUUUAUAUGUUUGCCAUUCUCCCUUCGCAUAAACAGGUAGGCACAAACUACAUAUGUUAAGUUAUCUACAUGGUUGUUGUUUGUAAACUGCAGUGUGCAGUUCCCCUAUUCUCCUGUGCUGAUCUGUACGGUAAAUGACAAUAUUUGUGCAUAUAAGUUCUGGCAAAUCAUAUUCGAGCUUUGUCAUCGAUCAGCCAGCCAGGAAGGUGGAAGGACACACUGCGAAAUAAACCAUAAACCAAAUAUGCGUUAAAUUCGCCCCACCUCAUCGGUGACAGUGACAAACAGAAAACAACAAGAAACGUCGAAAAGUUAAAGAAAAAGUUAAAAGGGAUUGCAUAGACGAAAAAGAUUUUAGUUUGAUGCAAUGUUUGAAGGAGACAAAUAGGCAUUUCGAUUUUUUUGGAAUCAUUCAAUAAAAUUGUUGUUGGUAGACGCAGGCUGCGCUAUUUUUUUAUGCUUCAUGCUUUUAGUAUGACUGCCUGCAGGUAUCCAAUUGCUUAAAAUGGAAUAAAAUUUUUAUUUGUAACAUUUGGAGGCGUGUAAUAUGUCAGCCAUUUAUGUACGUUUUCUUCUUAGUGUCAGCGAUUCAAAAUAGUAAUAAUAAUAAGAAGAAUAAGAUAAAUAUCACCUGUGUUGCAGUAAGAGUGGAAAAAUAUCAGAAUAUAUUUUGGUCACCUUAUUUCUAAUUCUUUACUUUGGUCUGAGUAUUGCUUUGAAAAGUAACUUUUCUCUGAACAAAACUAACAUUUGAAAUGCACCUUAUCGUCCGCAUGUUAAUAUAUGUUCGGGACGAUUACGACUUUGCUGCAUAAGGCGGAAUGACUUUGUCCAACAGUUUGAAGUCCUCUACACCAAGAUAGGCAAUAUUAGAAAUAUUUGGUUUCACAUUCAGCUACUUUGAUGAAGACUGCUGCUAUUGACAGAAACUGUUUGAAUUUGCCAGCAAUUUUUCUUGUAACGACAGUUCGUAAACUACGCAUCACCAGUACGGUCGUCGCGAUGCAGCAAGACACAGCUGAAGAAGAUCCAUAUCUGUCAGAGCAUCACACUUGGGAAAACUACAGGAUGUCUCUUGAUAUCUCCUACUGAACAUCUGCACAGUAACAGAACAUCCGCCCAGUGAAUGAUGUCUUUGGUAUCUAAACACUACCCAACGCAGAAAAUGAUCUUGACUUGCCCCAUGAAACCAAAGAGACUCUCGCACAACUUCAUCCUAGAUUUUAUAGAAUAGACCCUGACAUACUAAACACAUGUAUUGCACGAAAAGAGUCUCGGCAUGA